CACGUAGGGCGCAAGCGUUGUCCGGAAUUAUUGGGCGUAAAGAGCUCGUAGGUGGUUUGUUACGUCUGCUGUGAAAACCUAGGGCUUAACCCUGGGCUUGCAGUGGAUACGGGCAGACUAGAGGUAGGUAGGGGAGAAUGGAAUUCCUGGUGUAGCGGUGAAAUGCGCAGAGAUCAGGAAGAACACCGGUGGCGAAAGCGGCUCUCUGGGACGGUACUGACGCUGAGACGCGAAAGCGUGGGGAGCGAACAGG
rnacentral:rRNA from 1 species